GGCUGUGUAGUGUAGCGGUUAUCACUUCAGAUUCUGACGGGGGUAUAUUCGUACCAGUAAUUCUGGCGACCCCGGUUCGAUUCCGGGCACGGCCU